rnacentral:rRNA from 1 species
UACGAAGGUCCCAAGCGUUAUCCGGAUUUAUUGGGUUUAAAGGGUGCGUAGGCGGGUUAUUAAGUCAGUGGUGAAAGCCUGCAGCUUAACUGCAGAAUUGCCAUUGAUACUGAUGAUCUUGAGUAUGAUUGAGGUGGGCGGAAUGUGUCAUGUAGCGGUGAAAUGCUUAGAUAUGACACAGAACACCGAUUGCGAAGGCAGCUCACUAAGUCAUAACUGACGCUGAUGCACGAAAGCGUGGGGAGCAAACAGG